UACGGAGGGUGCAAACGUUGCUCGGAAUCAUUGGGCGUAAAGCGCACGUAGGCGGUCCGCUAAGUCGGGAGUGAAAGCCCUCGGCUCAACCGAGGAAGUGCUUUCGAAACUGACGGACUUGAAUACUGGAGAGGAUCGCGGAAUUCCCGGUGUAGAGGUGAAAUUCGUAGAUAUUCGGAGGAACACCAGUGGCGAAGGCGGCUCACUGGUCCAUUACUGACGCUGAGGUGCGAAAGCGUGGGGAGCGAACAGG
rnacentral:rRNA from 1 species